AGCGAACGCUGGCGGCAGGCCUAACACAUGCAAGUCGAACGGAUCCUUCGGGAUUAGUGGCGGACGGGUGAGUAACACGUGGGAACGUGCACUUUGGUUCGGAACAACUCAGGGAAACUUGAGCUAAUACCGGAUGUGCCCUUCGGGGGAAAGAUUUAUCGCCAUUGGAGCGGCCCGCGUCUGAUUAGCUAGUUGGUGAGGUAACGGCCCACCAAGGCGACGAUCAGUAGCUGGUCUGAGAGGAUGAUCAGCCACACUGGGACUGAGACACGGCCCAGACUCCUACGGGAGGCAGCAGUGGGGAAUCUUGCGCAAUGGGCGAAAGCCUGACGCAGCCAUGCCGCGUGAAUGAUGAAGGUCUUAGGAUUGUAAAAUUCUUUCAGCGGGGACGAUAAUGACGGUACCCGCAGAAGAAGCUCCGGCUAACUUCGUG
rnacentral:rRNA from 1 species